GUCUUGGUCGAUUAGUGGUUAAAUCAUCUCGUUGUGGCAGUGCCAUUUGGCGUUUGACAUAACCGAGAAGCCGAGGGCUCGACUCCCUCCCGAGACA